rnacentral:lncRNA from 1 species
UGGAGCUACUGAGGAUUUCUGAUCUGCAGUGGGGCCCUAAAUGUGCCCCCACAAAAGCUCCUAACACUUCCAUGUCAGACAAGGAAAGAUAACAGAGGGUCCUCAUCACAGCAACUUCUGCGCCCAUUGUCACCUGAAAAGGGGAGAGUGAUGAACCCCUGGGGCCCACAAUAAAUCUAAGUGCACUCCAUGAAUCCCAGGAUUGCUCAGAUGGAGUCUGGGCCAGCUAGGCCUGGUUGACCAUCAACUUAACUGCAGGAUGCACAAAAUGUAUCGUCAGGUGCCUCAGAAUAAGAAGCUAAGACGAGAGCAGAGGCUUACGGCAUGAGAUUGCAGAUCCCAAGGUCACUGGCAUCAUCUAAAGUGAAGAGCUCUGCUCAGACUCUGACUUCUGCUGUCAUCUAACACCCAGAAAUGGCCUCCAUGUGCACCCCUGGAACACGCCUUCUUUCCAUUCAUCUGGGGGGGAAACUGAGGUUCUGGGAGAGGAUGGAGCCCCAGCAAAGGCUGACAAUGCAGAAUCAGCACUAGAUGCCAAGGAGGGCAUUCCAGGCAAGAAGGUUGUGACAGUGAGUGUGCAUAGGGAGCUUCUAAACACGUUUGGCCUGAGGUGUGGCAUGAAGAGGUCUUACAGCUGUGUGAAGGAACAUUGUGCAAAAGAAAAAGAUGCAAAGGAAACCUCCUAG